rnacentral:tRNA from 1 species
CAUUAAGUGGCUGAAAGUAAGUAAUGGUCUCUUAAACCAAUAAAUAGUAAUUAAUAUAUACUCUUAAUGG